CGGUCUGGGCGAGAGCUCUUUGGACCACCGUAGGCGGGAAGAAUUUCC
rfam:Lachnospiraceae bacterium A2 genomic scaffold acPFL-supercont1.5, whole genome shotgun sequence.